rnacentral:rRNA from 1 species
GACGAACGCUGGCGGCGUGCCUAAUACAUGCAAGUCGAACGCUUCUUUUUCCACCGGAGCUUGCUCCACCGGAAAAAGAGGAGUGGCGAACGGGUGAGUAACACGUGGGUAACCUGCCCAUCAGAAGGGGAUAACACUUGGAAACAGGUGCUAAUACCGUAUAACAAUCGAAACCGCAUGGUUUUGAUUUGACAGGCGCUUUCGGGUGUCGCUGAUGGAUGGACCCGCGGUGCAUUAGCUAGUUGGUUAGGUAACGGCUCACCAAGGCCACGAUGCAUAGCCGACCUGAGAGGGUGAUGGGCCACAUUGGGACUGGGACACGGCCCAAAAGCCUACGGGAGGCAGCAGGAGGGAAGCUUCGGCAAUGGACGAAAGUCUGACCGAGCAACGCCGCGUGAGUGAAGAAGGUUUUCGGAUCGUAAAACUCUGUUGUUAGAGAAGAACAAGGAUGAGAGUAACUGUUCAUCCCUUGACGGUAUCUAACCAGAAAGCCACGGCUAACUACGUGCCAGCAGCCGCCGUAA